GAAUUCCGGCGAUUCCGGCCACCUCCGGUCCCCAUUUCGCCGUCGAAGAUCACAGUAUUGCUGACCGGCAUAGGAGUGGAGGCUAGUACCAUCUUUGUCAUCCAUUCUCAGUAGGUUAUUGAUUAACCUACUUAUUGUACUAUAUUUCGAGUGUGUUCCUUAGAUUGCUCUGAAUACUUGUAGAGAGUGGAUUUAUACAUUUGUAUAAUUAUGUGUGUAAGAGAGUGGUCUAAUUUGGGAGGAAGUUGAAUGAUUUGAAUUUGUAUAAGAUGUUAAGAUUGUGGAGUUUGAUGUUUA